rnacentral:lncRNA from 7 species
ACCUUCUCAUUCCUUCUUACUUUAAAAUUAAAAAAAAAAAACAACCCACCACCACCAACAAAAAAACCCUUAAGGAAAUAAUGUGUUUGCUUGUAUAGUUUAGAAGAAUAAAAUAACCACAUUAGCAAGUCUUGUAUUUAUUCCUGGCAUCGUUUUCCCCAUUAGGAAGAAGUAUGUCAUAACUUCUGUAACAGACUGCAAAUGCUUUGGCCAAUGGAUUGAUGUGCCCUGUGAUUUAACAGGUAUUUGUUAGAGAUGACUCGACUGUGCUCCCCUGAAAACAAUCAAAACAGAUGGGAUAUCACAUGAAGAAAAUCCCCCAAAAAGCUUAAAGACAGUAAGAACAGAGAUCUGCUAAAACAUGAUUGCUAAUUCUUCCCAGGAUGCAAAGUUUAAAAACAAUUAGAUGGAGGCACAAACUGUGCAAGCAAAUCCAUUUCCACGUGCAAAAUUUUCUGUUAGCAAUUGCAAAUUGGACAGCGAGUUGAAAUUCUCCCCAGUGGAGAAGAGGAAAGCAGAAAGGCUUCUGCCCCUCUCAAAUCUUGUUUGUCUCUGUGGUACUUACAGAGCCCUCAUUAAUGAAGUAUUUAAGCUUGUUACAACCUUAGUGCAGCCCCUGAGAAUAACAUUCAUUUCACAGCAUAAAGUGAAGUACAGGAGCUGUGUUAACACUUUCUGUGGCUCAGCUGUCCUGGGAGCAGCAGCCUGCAGCAUCCCCAGCCUCAAACCUGCACAUCCAUCAUGCCCUCCUGGGCAGGCUGUACUGCAGGUCCCAUCUGCCAUGGUGGAAGGUAAUGGGAUUUAAGAUCCUGGGGUCGUGUCAUCUCCAUCAGCCUCAGCCCUCAGGUGGCUGCAUGCUUCGCAGAUGAGUCGAUAUGGAGGAAGAAAGCCCUAAUUUGCUGCAUCCUUUGACUUUUCAAGUGUUGACCAAUGGGGAUGUUUCAAAAUCAUGGCUCAGAGGUACCUGGCAAAGCUCCCGUGGUGCUGCACCUUGCUGUCUCCUGCACUGAGCAGCACUGGAUGGACUAGGAGUGGCCAUCUACGUUUUUUAUUUGCAAAAACAGAAUCCCUUUCAGCACAGCCAAACUCUUCUCUUUGAGAUUCAACAUAGCCAAACUCUUCUUCUUUUUUAAUCUCUCCAUCUGCAAAGCUUCCCAAAUACUUCUGUAAGCAUUAGUUGUUGGGAAAAGAUUGGGUUCUAGCCUUGAUAAGUAGGCUUGCACAGUGCUCAUGGUGGUUGCAAUACCACCGUCUGCACUGCUAGUGAUUGAUAUCUGACAGUCAGAAUAAAUUCUCUGUAUCUGUUAGGCUGACAGAGUCAGAUCUACCCCUGUUAGUCUUCUGCAAGUGAGAGCCUCUGGAGCUCCAUGAAUGUGCACAAAUAUGAAUCUGAAGCAUCACCAUCCUUGCAUAGGAGUAUGGACUCAAUGAUCCUUAUGGGUCUCUUCCAACUUGGGAUUUGCUAUGAUUCUGUGAUUUUAUGAGUUCAAUUGUACAAGUCUAUGUAAUUAAGCAAAAGCUUCUCCUUACAAACAUCAUUUGUAAAUGCUGAUUGCAUUCAACUGAGAUGUGAAAUAUCUGUUGACAUUAACCCAAGCUUUGGCCCAGGUGAGGAGCAAAGCUCGUAGAGCUGCUCAUGGAUUUUCCUCACAUUGAAGUGUUAAAGUUGAGAAGGACUGGAAUGACUGGUACCCACUGGGAUUGCCUGGUUCAUCAGGUGCAACAUGGGCUCAAGCUUGUCUGAACCUUGAUGAUAAGCUCUCCUUGUUAAAAGCUAUUAUAUUUGUUACUAGCUGAGUAUAAUUCUGCCUGACUACCGCAGUUCUCCUCUGCAUGUAAUUGAAUUCAUAUUCAUCAUAAAGCA